GCUGUUGUAGCUCAGUGGUAGAGCACUUCCUUGGUAAGGAAGAGGUCGUGAGUUCAAGCCUCAUCAACAGCU
rnacentral:tRNA from 1 species